UCUUUUCUUCUUCUUCUCUCGUUCCUUUUUUUCUUCUUUGUUCCGUCUCCCCACCACAAUCACCACCAGCAGAAACAAUAGAUCUACGAACACCAACAACAACUUUAUUCUCCCCCGACACACUACUGCACCUACGUAUCUCACCACUACCACCACCCUCCUCCGCCUCCUUCAAUUCCUUCACCACCAACACCAUUUCCACUACCGUAAACAUCACCACCCCCAACUCCUCUCCACGUCACAGCAACCAUAAUCAAAACCCUAACCAUAGUUUCAUUUUAAAAAUCAGAAGGAAACACGUGUGGAUCUGGUGAUGUUUUGAUGAUUCUGUAAGAUCGGAUGAAGAAAUUGUUGAAAUUAGGGUUGUGACUGUAAUUGCAAUUGAAGAACAAGAAGAAGAGAGAUGGGUUGGUAACGAAUUGAUGAUUGAGAUCAAUUUUUUAAGGAAAGGAUGAUGAAGUGGUGAUGUUCCUAACAAGGGUCUGAGGAAUUGGAUCCAACAAUUUUCUUCAAUUUCAUGCCUAAAUUUACUUACUUUUGCCUUCUUCCAUUUUCACCAUCACCUUCCUUCUUCACCACCACUAAGAACAAGCAACACUGUUAUAGACAACUGAAAAUUGAUUUUAAAGGAACAAGAUGAAUCUUCAUAGACACUGGUUAUCUGUUGUUUUAAGAAAUGGAUUUUGUAACCGAGAUUGUUGGUGGUUUGUCGGGGACAAGGGAGAUGAUUGUCGUGUUUGUUAUUGUCUUUGAAAUGAUUAUAUUGAUGAUGAUGGCCUUUGGGUUCCUGGUAUUUUCAUGAAACGGGGCCAGACUAAUGGGCAAUGAUUUUUGUUUUGCCCAAAUGAGGCUCCAGGCUUGGAUGAUUAUUGAGGUGAUGAGUUAAGAAGAUGUAUACCAAGUACGAGAUUGAGGUUACAACAGUUGUUGCCACAAAUUUCAACAAAGUUGUUGACAUAAGCUGCUACCCAGUGGAUAGUGCAAAAAGAUAAAAUAUGAAGCACAGGCUAAUAGGAAUAGGAAUCCAGGGUCUUGACUUGUAUAAUACCUCUUGUAAUUUCUUUUUUAGGUACAUAUAGUUCAUGAAUUUAAUAGGAAUAGAAAUACCGGCCAAUAUAUAGUUCAUGAAUUUCGAUUACAUUGAAUUAUUUUAAUUGUCAUUUUGACUUGUAUAAUACCUCUUUAAUUUCUUUUGUAGGUACACAACAAGUCCACAUAUGUUCAGUGUAGAUACUGAAAAUAAACUUGCACGAAACCAAUUUUGGUUUCGUCUGUUUUUUUCUUCAUUUUGCUGAAACCAAUUUUGGUUUCAUCUAAUUUUUGUUGAAACCAAUUUUGGUCUCAUCUAAUUUUUGUUGAAGCCAAUUUUGGUUUCAUCUAAUUUUUGGAAUUUUUUGUCAAUGAAACCAAUCUUGUUGAUCAUAUGAUAAUAUUAUUGGUGGGGGUUUUACAAAAUGUUAUGAAACUGAAUUACCUGUGAUAAUGUUUAGGUAGUUGUAUGGUUUGAAUUCUAGCUGUAACUAAUAAUGUUGCUGAGGUUUGAAUGAGUUUUUUGUUUCAUCUAAUAUGUGAUUUUUUUUCUUUCAGAUUUUAUGUUGACGAAACCAAUAUUGUUGGUGUUUCAGGUAAAUGGGUCGUGGAGUCAGUUAUGGAGGAGAUCAGAGUUCUUUAAGAUCUCUCUUUGCUAGUCCUGUGGAAUCAAAACUAUAUGUACCUGUUGCACUUGUUGCUGCUUCAACCGCCACUGCUGCUGCUGCUCAGACCCCCUAGUUCAGGUGAAACAAAAUAUACCUACAGCUAACAAGUCUUCCCCCUCUCCCCUAGUGUAUAAAGAUAAACUGGGUCCAUCAAGAGUAGUGCAAGGUUCUCUAUCCAAUAACUAUUAUCGCGCUAAUGGCCAAAAACAAUGGAAAAUUCAUCCCUGUGAGUUUUUAACUAAGAUCUGCGCAGUUUCAUCCAUCUUAUCUCAUUCUUAGACUAUGACUGAUAUAUCUGCGAAACAACACAUCUGUAUAUUUGUAAUUUUGUGUCUAUUUUGAAUGGAUUGCUUAGAUGUUUUGUGGUUACAAUAGUUACUUAUAUAUGCGUUUCUGGAAACAUGAUCGAUCUUCGACUAAGGUUCACUUUGUUUAGUUACGUUUCAUCCGUUAGUGUUUUCGAAGCUUUCCGAAAUAGCAUUUAGACAUGCCAUGUUAAUCAUGACAUUUCAAUGAUGUCUUUUCUAUCAAUGGACAUGUAUAAUACCUCUUAUAAUUUUUC